rnacentral:rRNA from 1 species
CCUACGGGUGGCAGCAGUGAGGAAUAUUGGUCAAUGGACGAGAGCCUGAACCAGCCAAGUAGCGUGAAGGAUGACGGCUCUAUGGGUUGUAAACUUCUUUUAUAUGGGAAUAAAACGUUCCACGUGUGGGAUUUUGUAUGUACCAUAUGAAUAAGGAUCGGCUAACUCCGUGCCAGCAGCCGCGGUAAUACGGAGGAUCCGAGCGUUAUCCGGAUUUAUUGGGUGUAAAGGGAGCGUAGGUGGUUUAUUAAGUCAGUUGUGAAAGUUUGCGGCUCAACCGUAAAAUUGCAGUUGAAACUGGCAGACUGGAGUACAGUAGAGGUAGGCGGAAUUCGUGGUGUAGCGGUGAAAUGCUUAGAUAUCACGAAGAACUCCGAUUGCGAAGGCAGUUCACUGGACUGCAACUGACACUGAGGCACGAAAGUGUGGGUAUCAAACAGGAUUAGAUACCCGUGUAGUC